UACGUAGGGUGCGAGCGUUAAUCGGAAUUACUGGGCGUAAAGCGUGCGUAGGCGGUUCGUUAAGUUCGUUGUGAAAGCCCCGGGCUCAACCUGGGAAUGGCAAUGGAAACUGGCGGGCUGGAGUAUGGCAGAGGGGGGUGGAAUUCCGCGUGUAGCAGUGAAAUGCGUAGAGAUGCGGAGGAACACCGAUGGCGAAGGCAGCCCCCUGGGCCAAUACUGACGCUGAGGCGCGAAAGCGUGGGGAGCAAACAGG
rnacentral:rRNA from 1 species